rnacentral:lncRNA from 1 species
UUUUUUUUUUUUUUUUUGAGACAGAGUCUUGCUCUGUUAACCAGGCUGGAGUGCAGUGGUGCGAUCUCGGCUCACUGCAACCUCUGCCUCCCAGGUUCAAGCCAUUCUCCUGCCUCAGCCUCCCAAGUAGCUGGGACUACAGGUGCCUGCCACCAUGCCUGGCUAAUUUUUUUUUUUUUGAGACAGAAUCUCACUCUGUGGCUCCAGCUGGAGUGCAGUGGCGUGAUCUCAGUUCACUGCAACCCCUGUCUCCUGGGCUCAAGUGAUUCUCCUGCCUCAGCUUCCUGAGUAACUGGGAUUACAGGCGGGUGCCACCAUGCCCAGCUAAUUUUUGUAUUUUUAAUAGAGAUGGGGUUUCACCAUGUUGGCCAGGCUGGUCUUGAACUCCUAACCUUGUGAUCCACCUGCCUCGGCCUCCUAAAGUGCUGGGAUUACAGACGUGAGCCACUGUACCCAGCCUAUUUUUUUAUUCUUUUAGAGACAGGGUCUCACUCUGUCACCCAGGCUGGAGUGCAGUGGUAUGAUCAUGGCAACUUCAAACUCCCCGACUCCAGCAAUCCUCCCACCUCAGCCUCUUUAGUAGCUAACACUACAGUUGCACACCACUGGGCCCGGCUAGUAUUUUUCUUUUUUAAUUUUUAGUAGACAAGACCUCUCCCUAUGUUGCCCAGCCUGGUCUCAGAACUGCUGGGCUCGAGCAAUCCUCCCGCCUUGGCUUCCCAAAAUGUUGGGCUUACAGACAUGAGCCACCCCAUCCAGCUAUUUAUUUUUUAAAUGACACAUAAAAAUUGUACAUAUUAAUGGGGUACAUAGUGAUAUUUCAAUAUAUAUAAUUUCUAGUGAUCAUAUCAGGGUAAUUAGCAUAUCCGUCUUCUCCAACAUUUAUCCAUUGUUAGAAACAAAAUGCUUGUUCCUUGGUGCCACAAGGAAAAAUCAGCAUUCAGACAAAAAGUUUUCACAGCAAGGCAGUUUUACUUUCUGCAGAAAAGGUGCUGCUCAUCAGCAAUCUUGCCACAAGAGCACACUGAAUAAAGAAAGGCAGGAAUAUUUAUCCCUUAUGUAUUGGGUUCUUACUGCUGUGUCCUAUCUCCGUUGGUUGGAACGGGACCUCACAGUCUAAGUUAAAUCCGGUUGGCUAACAACUUAAGACUUUCCUAAAUAGGUAAAGGCAAUGGAGAGCAAAAGGAAAAGAGGAAGUUGCUUACGAAAGGACUUA